rnacentral:lncRNA from 1 species
CGAAAAUAAAGGAGCUUGAGAGAUCCUGACAUCGAGGUUUGUUCCCUAAGUGAAACCAGGAUUUGCUGCAUUUGCAUUCAUCUUGCAAAACAGACUGCUGUGUUGCACUUGGACCAUGUGAGUUGAAGAGUGAAAGACCUGGAAAGCUGGUGAUUCCACUGAGAAGUGUCUCCAUGCUCCUGCCACAUCCCGUCUUUAGAAAGAGCAG